CACAGCUGUAGCCCUGCAGCAAUCAGGGAUAGAGCCAGUAAAGUGGGCAGAGGGCACCAAGGCCUGGUUUGGAGGGUGCCUGAGGGUUAGGGGUCUCUGAGUGUCUGUGUGGAGUGCGGCUUUGGCUGCCUCUAUGCCACUCUGGUUGCUGCUUGAGCUCCUAGUGAACGUGAUUGCCUCUGUCCUGGCCCCAGAAGGAGUCCCAGCGAAUGCUGACAGAGUGCCAAUGCCAAAGACAAAUGCCAUGUGAAAUGUUCUGACCACGUGAAGAAACAAAUUUAGACUUUAUUCAAGAAAUAAAUGUAAGUU